AUUGCGCAGCCCGCAACAGGUGCCCCGCGAGGGGCUCAAAAGGGAACCCGGACAUUGAUGCUGCGCCAGCGAUGGCUCAGCACAAAUGAGGCCGGGGCUGUGCCCGCAACUGUAGCCGGGGAGUUUCCGCCCCAUCACGCCACUGGCGCCGCUCGCGGGGCUGGGAAGGCAGGGCGGACAAUGUCGAUCCGGUAAGCCAGGAGACCUGCCUGCUGCGGUCGAUCCUU
rnacentral:ncRNA from 2 species